CUCUUCACCAGAGAGUAACCUGCCAAUGUGGUUAGGAGUAUUUGAGUGGAGAUUUUGACCCCCACCUUGCUGCAAUCACUGGAUCCGGCAGUAACUUUAGCCACAAACCUUGAUCCAGCAGUAUUAGGCGACCCUUUGAUUUACAGCAGCAAUUAAUCUUUGCUAGCAGUAGAGUUUUGUUUUCCGGCAGCAGCUUGGUCUAGCAGCGGUUGAUUUGAGGACUUUGACGCGAGACGAGUAUCUCGGAGUCAGAUCGGACCUUUCUAUUUUCGGAGG